rnacentral:ncRNA from 1 species
GUAAAGUUUUAUUUUGGCUUUGGAAUUGGCUUAUCAAUUUACAUAUAUGCUUUUUUUUGAAAAUUGUUUUUUAAAUAGGAUUAUUUUUUUAGCAGUAUAUAAAUUUAAUUAUUAAGAUAUUUUAGAAUUAGGAAUUUGAUUUAGCAUGAACAAAAUUUGUGCCAGCAGUAGCGGUUAUACAAAUUAUGUUAGUUAAUUUUAUUUAGUUUAAUUAGGAGUUAAUUUAUUAAAAUUUAUAUUUAAAUUUUUUAGGUGAAAUUUUAAAUUUAUUUUAAGUUUUAUGUUUGUUUUUGAAGUUAGGAAAUUUUUUUUCUAAACUAGGAUUAGAUACCCUAUUAUUGAAAAUGUUAGUUUAUGCUAUGAUUAUUAUGAGUUAAGAUCUUUAAAGUUAAAAAAUUUGGCGGUAUUUUAGUCUAUUCAGAGGAACCUGUUUUUUAAUCGAUAGUCCACGAUAGUUGUUACUUUUUCUUUAAAUUUGCAUAUCGUCGUUUAUAAAAAUUUUAGGAGGAUUAGAAUUUUUGAGGAUUUUUAUAAUAAAGUAUUUCAGAUCAAGGUGUAGUUUAUGUUAAAGUUAAAAUGGGUUACAGUAUAGUUAUAUGUGGUUUUUGUUUAUUAAAUAUUCAAAAUAAAAUGGAUUUGAUAGUAAGUUUUUUAUUUUUGGAGACUGACUUAGCUCUAAAAUAUGCACAUAUCGCCCGUCGCUUUCAUUUUAAGAUGGAAUAAGUCGUAACAAAGUAGGCUUAUUGGAAAAUGAGCCUGGAAUGAA